UGUUGAACAGUUCUGAAGGAAAGGGGCAUCACACAGAGACAUAUUUCACAUGAAAUUACAGCCUCAUUCCUCUCCCCUUUCACUUUUCCAUUUAUCAGUUCUAUCCUCCUGCUCUCCCCCCCCACACGCCCCUGGAAUUAUUGAUGAUUAUGAAAGAGCAUGAAGUCUUCAUAAUAAGGAACAUUUUCGUCCAUUAUCUGGAGAAUAAUAUGGUUUAUUCAAUACAUUCCCUCGGAGAAAAAAAAAAAAGAAAGAAAAAAAAGAAACCCCAAAACGUUUAGGUCUGCUGUAAAUAGAUGCUUUUUUCCCAGGACAACAGAUUGCGCUGAACGACUCAGUUUUCUUUUGGGAUUAUAAAGGUACAGAACAGUUCUGUCUGGGGAUGGUGGUUUUCCUUGAGGCAAAUGCUGACCAACACGUGGUGCCCGCUGCUGGUGUUAACAGGAGUAGACACCGUUCCCCGUUGGGCCCUUCCCUAGCAGAGCCCUCAGCAGCCUCUGCAAGCAGAGGGAAGUGAGGAAGCUUCAGUUUGCGUGCUGCAGAGGUAUGGAGCUGUCCUACCCCGAACCCGGCUGAGGAGGAAGGCCGCAUUCCCACGCAGUGGGACAGCAGAGCGGGAGGCCGUAGGAGAACCUUAGCAACGACGGCACGGUCCCCUUCUUACCGCUCCUCAGAAACGAGAGAAGCAAUUGCACAGCAGCCUCGCCUGUCCGUGAGAGGUACUGCAUGAGAAGCACGCAAGAGUGGAGCGACCUCAGUCAGCUCGGUAUAAUGAGGUGAUGAGCUGAGGAAUAAAAAGGAAGAGAAUGGGCAGGCUAAUUCAAUUACUUCUUGAUUAGUGAUACAAGACAAGGAAGAAAUUAAAACUAACACAACAUUAAUGAGCAGCAGCAGAAAAUUCACUUAAAGGCUUUCCUGGGAGAAGCCUUUGGAAGACCCCGAUGACACAAGGAAUGAAGGGGAACGUCAGUGCUGUUCCCCCAAGUGGACCUGACACAGUGGGAUUGGCUGUGCGCUGAAACACUCACCUGAGCUGAUCUUGUUCAGGCUGCAGCCCGCGCUAUGUGCAGACAACACCAAGCUGAGUGUUUCAGUGGUGCAACAGAGGAAGGGAUGUCAUCCAGAGGAACCUGGAAAUGCCUGAGAAGUGAGCCCGUGUGAACCUACAAGGUUCAACAAGGCCAAGUGCAUGCUGUCGCGCUUGGGUCAGUGCAAUCCCAGAUAUGUGUACAGACUGAGAGAAGAACUCCUUGAGAGCAGCCCUGUGGACGAGGACAUGGGGGUCCUGGCGGACCAAAAGCUUGACAUGAGCCAGCAGUGUGCAGUUGCAGCCCAGAAGGCCAACUGUGUCCCGGGGUGCAUCAACAGGGGCCAGGUUGGAUGGAGCCCCAGGCAGCCUGAGCUGUUGGGGAGGAACCUGCCCAUAGCCAGGGAUGGGACUGUGUGGGCUUUAAGGUCCUUUCCAAUCCAAGCCAUUCUAUAAUUCUAUGAAGUUUCAGUGCCUCUACAUGUAGCAGGAUACCCUGCAUAGGUAUCCUAUGCACGUCUCCAUAGGUCUGUGCACAUCUGCUCUCUUUGGCACAUUCAGCAUCACCUCUGUUGCUCAAGGCAGUGCCUGCAAUAUGAUUUCUCAUGUGCCUCAGCUUUAUGUGCCCAGCACCACAUACUACACAGGGUGUCACACCAUGACCAUUGUCUCUCCUAUUCCUGUCUGUAGAGUCACCCUGCAGUGUCCUCUCUCUGCUGCAGAGCGUGGCCAUGGCCCCAGUACCAGGAAUGUUCCACUCCUGUGCAAACAGCGCUGCCUUCCAUGUCUGCUAGUGAUCCUGAUGAUACUGCAUCCAUUUCUAGGGGUCAGAGAAGCAAUCAGACAAUUUAAGAAAUAAUUACUGCUUACCGGUUUCUGCAAAGGAAUGAGACAUUCGUUAUAAGGUAAUUAUGGGAGGGACUUUUUCAUGACUUUUGUUGAAGGAACAGCAAUAAUUAAUCAUAAAGGAGAGGUCCCAGUCCACCCCUCCACGUUACCUGACUCUCCGACUACAGUUCCAAGCUACAAAUACCAAGUUAGAAUAAAUUAGUUCUGCCUAUUUUCAGUACAAGACAGUAUAUUUCCUCUUACAAAAAAUAGUUUUAAAACCCUCCUGGAGCAAAUGAGUUGAGGAAGAAGCCAGGUCUGUGGUGGAGGACAUAGACCUCUUCCAACAGCUAUGAACACCUGCUCCUUUUUGGAGAGUUGUGUAAUUUUCCUGAGUGCAAAUUCCCCAAUUAAGAAAAAAGAAAUGCAAAGAGUGACACUUCAUCAUCUCAUACAGGUAGAUGAAAAUCAAAACACCAGUGCCUCAGGGAAGCACUGAUCUCUGGUAUACACCAUCAAUAGAUAGCUAAAGACUAAACUGACAGUUAACUCAGAAAUUUGCUUAUUACUGAAGUGUUGGCUUAGGAUUAACCAAGUUAAGCUGCAGCACUGCAUACGAGUCCAAAUGCUUUGCUGUAUAUGCAUUCACAAGGAGCUUUGCUGGCUACAGAAAGGUUUAAUCAAAUACACCGAGGGUUCCCAAAACGUUCGAACAGAUACUUAGGCAGAACAUUCCUUCUACUAACUGUGCAUUUAGUUGUGGUGAGCUAAAUGCAGUGUUGCUGCAAAAAGUAGAGUUAUAAAAAAUACAGAAAGGCAUUCUUUUCUACCAUUUACAAUUGCGCAUGCACAGAAGCAGUUUACCUAAGUGGGGUAGCAUUCAUCUAGCUGUCCAUUCACAGCAUAUAAUGUUGUUAUCUUCACCACAACUAAAUGAUGCUGCAAAGUGUGAUUCUGGAUAAAGAGCAGUGGGGAAAGCUGUUGAACCCUACAAAAAUAAUCAUUCUGGAAAUAUGAAAAUGUGUCUUCUAUCACAGGCAAAAUAUAAUAAAGAAUACUUGCAGCCGGAUCAGUGGACAGUGAAAAGGAUUUUGCAGUUUGCCACAUAAUACUGCAGCCUGAAAUACUUCAGCAAUCAGAGCAGGAAGGUGUCUCCUGGUGCCACGCUCAGAGUCAUGCACGUACUCCUCCAGUUAGUAGCUGAAGAGCCAAGUACAUCAUUGAUUGAGGGGCCUUGAGCACCAGAGCAUGUUUCAAAUGAAAAGCUCUACACCCUGCCUCAAGAAUGUGUUUUUCUCUAGUGGCAAUUUGAGACACCCCACAUCCUUCAGUACUGUGCAGCUCUGCUCUCUUAGUGUUCUCUAACAUUACCAUAAACUUGGCUUGAAAAGAGACCCCUUUAAUCAAAGCUUACUUAACAACUGGGCUUUUGGAAUUAGGGGAUUGCCAAAGGACACAACUUAGUGUGACAAUGGUGAAUAGAAAUGACUUUGGCUUAAUGAGAAGUAUAAAUUCUGAUCCACAAGGAAACAACCACCUUGUGCCAACUGGGUAAGCAGAGCUUACACAGACAUUCAACACAUAUGAAAGUCUCAAAUCCAAUCUUUGAAUUACAAAAUUAUCAUAGAAAUGGAGAUGCACAGGUAAAUAUGACUGCUUCAUGCAAUGUCAUGGAUUAUUUUUUUGGUUAAGCCUUUGAAGCACAAUUUUGAGCAACACCUUUUGAUUGGGCUCCUCUACUAUUUAAAUGGUUUGCAUAUUGGUUGAAGAAGCCUGAUCAGUGUUGAGCUGUCACUGCCAUGUCCUCAUGACGUGUUGCAGACAAGUGUUCCAGUAGCUUCCAUGGCAAAGAACGUGCCAGCAGCAUCUCUUGCCAACACAAGUGAGGUCCUGCUCAGGCCACAUGGUGCCAUGCACUGCAGUCAUUCUGCAUGUAGACCUUGUAGGCUUCACGAGCUCUUUAAGGAACAGCAUUUCCUAGCAAAGCACAUUCGUAACUCUCCCAGAAACAAGGGUUCCAGUAUGACUCUGGUCAAAACCUGGUCCAAAGGAAGGUAUGCUUAUUUAUAUUCUGGAGACAGAUUUGAGCCCUCAGUAUCUUAUUUCCCAUAUUAACUUCAACAAAGCGUGCAUUUUCCAAGGCUUGCUAAUGAGCCCAGCAUACUUAGGAAAAAAUUUGAAAUAUACAAACAAACUCACUGUCAGAUGGGUUUUUCCAAGGCCUGGACUGAAGCUCAGGGAAGUAGGAAAUAAAUGUUAUGUCCCUCCAAAUCUCUUACAAACUCUGACGAAGAAAAAAGAAAAAGCAACCUGAUUCUCAGGCCAAAUCUCCCAGCUGCUUUUGCAAUUCAUGACGGGUCUGGCUGAAGAGUCGGUUCAUUUUUCUAAAUCCAGUUCCUUCUCACAAAAAAAAAAUGUUAUUUAAUAACAUUCAAAUCCUGCUUAUUUUGAGCUUAAAAAACAAACUUGGUUAUAAGACAGUGCCUUUCCCUGCAACGCACUUUCACUCAUACGUGAAAACACCACUUUGAUGUUUCUUUUGGAAACAGCACGACUCUGCCAGAAGCAGAGCUGUUACUCAGAGAUCAAGACGUUUGAGAAGAAAAUUAUCUAAUAAAGGUAGAAUGAUAAGGAAAGUAAAAUGCUGGUGAUCAGUGAAACUGCCAAAGCGUGCAAGGCAGUAAAGCUCUAGGAACUACGUGUCAGAAUACAACCGAUGGGUGAGCAACCAGCGCAAGCUCCAAGUGCCAAAACAUACAAGUGUCAGUUUUUGAAGGAUAUAUUUCACCAUCUAUCCUGUGUUUCAUCAGUGCUAACCAGCACUGAAUUCUCAAGGACUCUUCUACCUUCUUGCAGGUGUAGCAUUUUCAGCAAUUCUCUACCUAGCAAACGUUUCUGUUUCCUUUACAAAUAACAGGGAUUUUGUACCUAGGCUGUUGUAAGCAGAAAUCAGAAAGCAUUUCUGCACACAGCUCUUCAUGCAGUUGUGUAACUCUGGGUUCGAAUACACGUGUAAGCUGUAAUCCAACUCCUCUGAGCAUGUCCUUCUUGCUGUUCGAUUUUUCCUGUCAAAACACACAAAAAUAACCAUAUAGGAACCGAAUGUGUUUCUCAGAAAUGCAUAUGCUAGGUUUGCCACAAAGCCUUUUUCCACUCCCAAGAUCC
ensembl:lncRNA